GUCCAGCUUCGGGGCUUUCCAGGCCUCGAGGGAGGGAGCUGUGACCCUGACAAGGGCAAGGCCAAGCCUGAGCCUCCAAUCGACUGUGAUGUUUGGCGGCGGAAACACUGUGAAGGAGCAGGCCCUGCCCAGGGUGCGACGGAGUGGCUGGCUGUGCGGGUCAGUGGGGUUGGGCAGUGGCAGAAACGGAGUCAGAUGGAGACCACGGCUUCUGGAAGGAAUCCUAAUUCCACCAGGGUUGCAGUGUGCUUAUAAAACUUCUGAGAACCAGUAGAGGACAACUUGGAAAAACCAGUGCCUUAAAGCAAUGGUUUUCAACAGCCCUAAGAUCUCCAAUACAUACCCCCACUAUGACCAUAAACCACCACACACUGCAGUCAUCAAGAUACUACUUCCUUCAUGGAAAACCUUGGAGCAAGAUUAUUGAGAGAACAACCAGUGAUGAAUUUUCCAACUCACAUUCCUACAUCUUACGAAGACCACUCCUUACACACCAGGCUUUCUUGGUGGCUCUGGGCUUCCCUGGUAGCUCAAAUGGUAAAAUGUCUGCCUGCAAUGUGGAAGACCUGGGUUCGAUCUCUGAGUUGGGAAGAUCCCCUGGAGAAGGAAAUGACAACCCACUCCAGUACUCUUGCCUGGAAAAUCCCAUGGAUGGAAGAGCCUGGUAGGUUACAGUCCAUGGGGUCAAAAAGAGUCAGACACAACUGAGUGACUUCACUUCCUUGGUGGCUCAGACGGUAAAGAAUUCACCUUUGAUGCAAGAGACCUGGGUUUGAUCCCUGGCUUCAGUCCCUGGGUUAGGAAGAUGCCCUGGAGAAGGGAAUAGCUACUCCCCUCCAGUAUUCUUGCCUGGAGAAUUCCAUGGACUAUGUUCUUUCAUUGAAACAAGUGUCUUCUAAAUUUAGUCAGGAAAACUACAUUUUUACCAUACACAGAAAGAGAAAUACUUGAUAUAUUUUGAUUCAAAUAAAUCUUUACUGAGGACAUAAUUAUGUUCCAGGGAAAUAGAGUGGGAAAAGAGGGUAUUAUACCUCAGAGUUUACAGAUAAAAUGGAGGAGAAGUCACUUAAACAAAUGACACUUAAGUGCUGCAAUGUAUAAUAGUCAAAUAUUCUGGGCACUUGAAAAUCAGGGAGACAUUAGUGCUAAUCAGGGGGAAUCCAGGGAGGCUUCAGGGAAGAGGUGGCACUAUUAUCAAAGACUUGAAAACUGAGGACAACUUUGAUUCUUCAACUUACUAAUAAAAAUAUCUUUUCCACCGCUUCAAGUUUCCAAAAUUUUCCUUUCCAAACUCACCUUAAAACUAAAAGUCCCUUGGGGACUUCCCUGGAACUUAGUGGGUAAGACUCCACUCUUCCAAUGCAGGGGGCCCAGGUUUGAUCCCUGGUCAGGGAACUAAUAAGAUCCCACAUGCUGCAUGGUGGCACCAAACAAUUAAAAUUGUAAAAAGAAAAAAAAAAAACCCAUAAAAUCUCUAUAUAAGAUCCUGUUGUCAGAACUGUGAUUCCCACACAUCUGCUGAUGUGGCUAGGUGGCUUCCGGAACAUGCCAGAGACCCCUUCAGCUGUGAAUUCUGUCACUCCUGAGCCAUAUGUGAAGGGACAGUCACAGAUAAUCCACAAGGUCAACGUCACCACUACACCUGACACCCAGUCACUGAAUGUUUUACAGGUACAUUGAGAACAAAUGAACCCAAAGAGCACAAAAUAUGAAAUAAACCAUCCUCCUAAAAAUACCAGAAUACAAAUGACUGCGGGCUUCCCUCGUGGCUCAGAUGGUAAAGAAUACACCUGUGAUUCAGGAGACGCCAGAUUCGACCCCUGGGUCAGGAAGAUCCCCUGGAGAAGGGAAUGGCAACCCACUCCAGUUCUUGCCUGGAGAAUCCCAUGGACAGAGUCUGGUGGGCAACAAUGAACACAACUGAGCGACUAACACUUUCACUUCACAAACGACCACAGUGACUUCAUUACAGUGGAAAGAUCAUGACUGAUGUUUCUUUUUUCCUCUUAGAGUUCCCAAAUUUUCUCUCCUCUUAUCUUAAAGUUACA
rnacentral:lncRNA from 1 species